CAGCAGUGAGGAAUAUUGGUCAAUGGACGAGAGUCUGAACCAGCCAAGUAGCGUGAAGGAUGACUGCCCUAUGGGUUGUAAACUUCUUUUAUAUGGGAAUAAAACGUUCCACGUGUGGGAUUUUGUAUGUACCAUAUGAAUAAGGAUCGGCUAACUCCGUGCC
rnacentral:rRNA from 1 species